GGAAAGUUCUUCAGCACUACAACAAUAGAUUGUAACACAUUUUCUAAAGUCAUCAAAAUCCGUCAUACUUCCAAAUCAGUGACACGUAUCAACGCUAUAGAAGCUGAAGAACUUGCAACUAGAAAUAUUCGAAUGGGUUAUUUUACUUAUGGCAGCGCAUUAAAUUAAAACCGGAAAGUUCUUCAGCACUACAACAAUAGAUUGUAACACAUUUUCUAAAGUCAUCAAAAUCCGUCAUACUUCCAAAUCAGUGACACGUAUCAACGCUAUAGAAGCUGAAGAACUUGCAACUAGAAAUAUUCGAAUGGGUUAUUUUACUUAUGGCAGCGCAUUAAAUUAAAACCGGAAAGUUCUUCAGCACUACAACAAUAGAUUGUAACACAUUUUCUAAAGUCAUCAAAAUCCGUCAUACUUCCAAAUCAGUGACACGUAUCAACGCUAUAGAAGCUGAAGAACUUGCAACUAGAAAUAUUCGAAUGGGUACAUAAUAUGUUUUUAACCGGUUAAUAUGUUUUUGGGUACGACAAUAGAUAACCCAAUACCAAGAUACCAGCUGCUAUUAUGUUACAUAUUAUGGUAACAAACAUAACAAUAUAAAACGUCUUCAUCUAUUUCUAUAAAUUAAUAAUUUAUUAUACCAAGUAAUAUUUAAUGGUUAUUGUAAUAACUC